rnacentral:misc_RNA from 1 species
GUACCCUCAAGCUUUGCUUGGUGUUGGGUGUUUGUCCUCUCCCUAGUGUUUGGACUCGCCUUAAAAUAAUUGGCAGCCAGUAUUUUGGUAUUAAAGCGCAGCACAAGUCGCGAUUUGAUCCAGCUAUACUUGCGUCCACAAGCUAUUUCUUUAC